rnacentral:rRNA from 1 species
UACGAAGGGGGCUAGCGUUGCUCGGAAUUACUGGGCGUAAAGGGAGCGUAGGCGGACAUUUAAGUCAGAGGUGAAAUCCCGGAGCUUAACUUCGGAACUGCCUUUGAUACUGGAUGUCUUGAGUGUGAGAGAGGUAUGUGGAACUCCGAGUGUAGAGGUGAAAUUCGUAGAUAUUCGGAAGAACACCAGUGGCGAAGGCGACAUACUGGCUCAUUACUGACGCUGAGGUGCGAAAGCGUGGGGAGCAAACAGG